AUACUUACCUGGCAGGNGAGAUAACAUGAUCACGAAGGUGGUUUUUCCAGCGUGAGGCUUAUCGAUUGCAUUCCAGAUGUGCUGACCCCUGCAAUUUCUUCCAAAUGUGCGAAACUCGACUGCAUAAUUUGUGGUAGUGGGGGACUGCGUUUGCACUCUCCCCUG
rnacentral:snRNA from 1 species